rnacentral:rRNA from 1 species
CCCUUUAGAUGUUCUGGGCUGCACGCGCGCUACACUGAUACGAACAACGAGUACUGAAGACCUGGUCCGAAAGGAUUGGGUAAACUUUUGAAAUCGUAUCGUGCUGGGGAUCGAUAAUUGCAAUUAUUUAUCGUGAACGAGGAAUUCCUAGUAAGCGCAAGUCAACAGCUUGCGCUGAUUACGUCCCUGCCCUUUGUACACACCGCCCGUCGCUCCUACCGAUGUUUGGUCCGGUGAAAUCUUAGGAUUCGUGGCAUACACUUGUUUUGUUGCUUUUGUGAUGAGAUGAGUUUGCUGUGGAGAAUUUGAGUAAACCUUGCCAAAUAGAGGAAGGAGAAGUCGUAACA